rnacentral:rRNA from 1 species
UACGAAGGGGGCUAGCGUUGUUCGGAAUUACUGGGCGUAAAGGGCUCGUAGGCGGCCAACUAAGUCAGACGUGAAAUCCCUCGGCUUAACCGGGGAACGGCAUCUGAUACUGGAUGGCUGGAGUUCGGGAGAGGGAUGCGGAAUUCCAGGUGUAGCGGUGAAAUGCGUAGAUAUCUGGAGGAACACCGGUGGCGAAGGCGGCAUCCUGGACCGACACUGACGCUGAGGAGCGAAAGCCAGGGGAGCAAACGGG